rnacentral:rRNA from 1 species
GUCCACGCCAUAACGAUGAGGACUAGACGUUGGGGCGUAUAAGCUCUCAGUGUCGUAGCUAACGCGCUAAGUCCUCCGCCUGGGGAGUACGGCCGCAAGGUUUAAACUCAAAGGAAUUGACGGGGACCCGCACAAGCGGUGGAGCAUGUGGUUUAAUUCGAUGCAACGCGAAGAACCUUACCUGGUCUUGACAUCCAUGGAAGUCUGCAGAGAUGUGGAUGUGCCGUAAGGAACCAUGAGACAGGUGCUGCAUGGCUGUCGU